UACGUAGGGGGCAAGCGUUGUCCGGAUUUAUUGGGCGUAAAGAGCGUGUAGGCGGCCAGGUAGGUCCGUUGUGAAAACUGGAGGCUUAACCUCCAGCUGUCGAUGGAAACCAUCUGACUAGAGUCCGGAAGAGGAGAGUGGAAUUCCUGGUGUAGCGGUGAAAUGCGCAGAUAUCAGGAAGAACACCCGUGGCUAAGGCGGCUCUCUAGUACGGUACUGACGCUGAGACGCGAAAGCGUGGGGAGCGAACAGG
rnacentral:rRNA from 1 species